rnacentral:misc_RNA from 1 species
GCGACUGCGGGUGAAGUCGUAACAAGGUAGCCGUAGGGGAACCUGUGGCUGGAUCACCUCCUUUCUAAGGAUGAUCAAGAAUUGGGAUAUCUCAUCUUUAGGAUAAAGUUUCCCUUUUUGAUCUCAUUAGACAUAAAGGUUUAAGACGAUUCAGUUUAAACCUUAUGCAUGUGAGACUAACUCUUCAUGAGACAUUUCCUCAAAAGAGAAGCUUCUUUUACAAAAAAGAAGUCCCAUCUCUUGAGGCCCCUACCUCGAUGAGAAGAUGUUCCAUAAGGGCUUAGUGCUCAUGUGUUAAGUUUAUAAGCAGACUAGCCGUCUUCGUUUCUCUUUCUUCAGAUGAUGAUCCCAAGCCUUCUGGCGCUCUACGCGAUGCAAGGCCUUAAUAGGGCUUUCAGAAAAAAUGCUCUUUCAGAAAACAUUUUGGUGUUUUAUAAGAUGCUGCUUUUAUAAGAUGAUGCCGGGGAAGGUUUUCCGGUUUAUCCCGGAGGGCUUGUAGCUCAGUUGGUUAGAGCGCGCGCUUGAUAAGCGUGAGGUCGGAGGUUCAAGUCCUCCCAGGCCCACCAAUUUAUCUGUUAAUUUAUAAGCGCUGGUGAAACUUGCUUAUAUGGAUCUUGCCUAUCAAUUUGUAAGAAACUUACUUAUCUUACGGGAUGAUUUACUUAUAAAAGGCUUUCUUAUGAAUUUAUUUAUAAUCUUAUGAAUUUAUUUAUAAAAGUGUGGCUACCUCUUUGGUUUAAGCAAUGCGAAGUUAAAGCAGUUCAACAGCAAAAGUGAUCCCAAUUUAAGAUCUGAAAUUUAAAAGUUUCAAAUGCGUUAUCCUGUUUUUAGGGGCCGUAGCUCAGCUGGGAGAGCACCUGCUUUGCAAGCAGGGGGUCGUCGGUUCGAUCCCGUCCGGCUCCACCAAUUUGAUCAUCAUCAUUGUUGUGAGAACAAAUUUUGUGAGAGGUUCAAUAAUCUUUCGCUUGUUCUAAUGAAAUUGUGAAGAGAAGAUAUAUUCAGACAUGUCCCUUUUGAUAGGUUUAUUUUAGAGGACAAGGUUUUUCUCAGGAAAAAUGCUUGUCGUCAGGAUAAAGAUUUAAAUCUUAAAAGGAGACAUUGUGUCGCAGGGGAAUGCUCAAAGCCCUUGCUUAUGAUUGGAAGCUUAACCGCGCCACUGAGUAUAUCUCUGAGAAGCUGGUCUUUUCUGCUGAUAUUUUUAUUUGUUUUGCGCUUUGUUUUGCACAAGGCAAAGAAUGCGGACAAAAGAGAAUGAAUAUUGGCAAUGAGAACG